UGCAGUCGAGCGGGGAAGGGUAGCUUGCGUACCUGACCUAGCGGCGGACGGGUGAGUAAUGCUUAGGAAUCUGCCUAUUAGUGGGGGACAACAUUCCGAAAGGAAUGCUAAUACCGCAUACGCCCUACGGGGGAAAGCAGGGGAUCUUCGGACCUUGCGCUAAUAGAUGAGCCUAAGUCAGAUUAGCUAGUUGGUGGGGUAAAGGCCUACCAAGGCGACGAUCUGUAGCGGGUCUGAGAGGAUGAUCCGCCACACUGGGACUGAGACACGGCCCAGACUCCUACGGGAGGCAGCAGUGGGGAAUAUUGGACAAUGGGCGAAAGCCUGAUCCAGCCAUGCCGCGUGUGUGAAGAAGGCCUUUUGGUUGUAAAGCACUUUAAGCGAGGAGGAGGCUACUUGGAUUAAUACUCUAGGAUAGUGGACGUUACUCGCAGAAUAAGCACCGGCUAACUCUGUGCCAGCAGCCGCGGUAAUACAGAGGGUGCGAGCGUUAAUCGGAUUUACUGGGCGUAAAGCGUGCGUAGGCGGCUUCUUAAGUCGGAUGUGAAAUCCCUGAGCUUAACUUAGGAAUUGCAUUCGAUACUGGGAAGCUAGAGUAUGGGAGAGGAUGGUAGAAUUCCAGGUGUAGCGGUGAAAUGCGUAGAGAUCUGGAGGAAUACCGAUGGCGAAGGCAGCCAUCUGGCCUAAUACUGACGCUGAGGUAC
rnacentral:rRNA from 1 species